UACGUAGGGUGCAAGCGUUGUCCGGAAUUAUUGGGCGUAAAGGGCUCGUAGGCGGUCCAUCGCGUCGGGAGUGAAAAGCUGGGGCUUAACCCCAGUCCUGCUUCCGAUACGGGUGGACUAGAGGUAGGUAGGGGAGAUCGGAAUUCCUGGUGUAGCGGUGAAAUGCGCAGAUAUUAGGAAGAACACCAGUGGCGAAGGCGGCUCACUGGUCCGGUACUGACGCUGAGGUGCGAAAGCGUGGGGAGCAAACAGG
rnacentral:rRNA from 1 species